GAGUUUGAUCAUGGCUCAGGAUGAACGCUAGCGGGAGGCCUAACACAUGCAAGCCGAGCGGUAUUGUUUCUUCGGAAAUGAGAGAGCGGCGUACGGGUGCGGAACACGUGUGCAACCUGCCUUUAUCUGGGGGGAUAGCCUUUCGAAAGGAAGAUUAAUACUCCAUAAUAUAUUGAACGGCAUCGUUUAAUAUUGAAAGCUCCGGCGGAUAGAGAUGGGCACGCGCAAGAUUAGCUAGUUGGUGAGGUAACGGCUCACCAAGGCGAUGAUCUUUAGGGGGCCUGAGAGGGUGAUCCCCCACACUGGUACUGAGACACGGACCAGACUCCUACGGGAGGCAGCAGUGAGGAAUAUUGGUCAAUGGGUGCAAGCCUGAACCAGCCAUCCCGCGUGAAGGACGACUGCCCUAUGGGUUGUAAACUUCUUUUGUAUAGGGAUAAACCUACCCUCGUGAGGGUAGCUGAAGGUACUAUACGAAUAAGCACCGGCUAACUCCGUGCCAGCAGCCGCCGCAGUAAC
rnacentral:rRNA from 1 species